GUCAACAUCUGGGAACGGAGGAUUGGUUGCCAGCCACACAAGGCAGGUGCCUGCUUGAAUGACAGAACAGGAGAUGACAAUGGAGUAGGCAAGGCUUCUCCCAAUCCAUUUCUUCACCCUAGAUCCUGGCUUAGUGGCCAUGAAAGCCAGGACAACUGUGAUGGUUUUUGCCAGCACACAAGAAACAGCCAUAGAGAAGAUGAUGCCAAAAGCAGUUUGCCGGAGGAGACAUGUCACCUUCCAAGGUUUGCCAAUGAAUAGCAAUGCACAAAUGAAGCAGAAUAGGAGGGCGAUGAGGAGAAUGUAGGUGAGGUCCCGGUUGUUGGCUUUGACAAUAGGGGUGCCAUGGUGCUUCAUAAAGGUCACUAGGACAAGAGCUGUGAUCAAACAACAUGAAAGAGACAAACAGGCUAAAGUGAGCCCCAAAGGCUCUUCAAAUGUCAGGUAGCUUACAUUCUUGGGAAUACACAAAUCUCUGUUUUUGUUUGGAUAAUUUUCAUCUGUGCAUUCAUAACAAUCACUCAAAUCUGGAAAAGAAUAAAAUAGUGAUUUAACUAUCACUACCUUAGUGAUAAGUGGUACACAUCUCAUCAAAGAUUGAUAGAUAGAUGAUAAAUAGAUGAUAGAUGAUAGAUGAGAUGAUUGAUAUAGAUAGAUAGAUGAUAGAUAGAUGAUAGAUAGAUAGAUAUAGAUAUAGAUAUAGAUAUAGAUAUAGAUAUAGAUAUAGAUAUAGAUAUAGAUAGAUAGAUAUAGAUAUAGAUAUAGAUAUAGAUAUAGAUAUAGAUAUAGAUAUAGAUAUAGAUGAGAUAGAUUAGAUAGAUAGAUAGAUGAUAGAUAGAGCGAUAGAUCAUCGAUAGAUAGAGCGAUAGAUACGAGAUAGAUGAUAGAGGCCCAGUUUUCUAAGUGUAGCUUUUUCAAGAUACAAGUUCAUAAUGAGUUUAUUAUUUAUACCUAACACUUAUAUUUAAAAGAAUUGAGGUAGCUUACAGCCAAAAGAAUAAAUUGUUUGUGUGAGUAAAAGAGAUAUAGGGAGUAGACAUCAUCGCACUGAGAGCAGGAAGGUUCAAUCCUGUGGUGUUCAGCUUCUUAACAAGGGCGCUCCCAACAGAGAAGCCCCUAGUGAAGGAGCAGCAGGUAGGAUUGAAUAUUAUACUUAGUAAAGGAUCUGAUUCGCAUGGAGCAUAUUAUUCCUCCUGCACAAGUACCUCCCCAGAAGGGAUGACUUGUAGGAAGGAGGAGCAACCUGAAUCCUGUAGGGUGGAAUCACUUGCUUACCAGCUGCUAAGUGAAGGAUUUCAUCCUGCAUGGUAUUGCAUUAAGGGGUGGUGUGGUGACCAUGAAGAGGGAGAUAAUAGCCAGGAAAGAGAAGCUAAAUGAGAAAGCCUGCAUCCCAAAUUCCAACAGCUUCCCCACCCCACCCCAUCCCUACCUUCACUGGGAAAUACAUGAAUGGCCAAGUAGCUUCGGCCUACUUUAUUUAUGCAGUAUCUCCUUCUUCCCACCUAACUCCUGCCUUUCCUUUCUGCCUUAUGCCUUUCCCUCGGGCAGCCCUAGAUUAUUCUGGGUCACCAACCUUCAACAAUCCAAAGCUGUCUCAAGCCAAGUUGAGUGUCACCUCGAAAAGCCCAAAUCUGCCAGAUGUGGAUAAAAACUUUGAUUCAGCUGAAUCACUUGCGCAGUUGUAGUAACAGACCUAUUACUGCAUAUCUGAGAAAGCAACAUGAGAUGGGGAAAACUCAAUUCAUCCCUUUCUAGCGAUGUGUACAUGCAUUUGCUGGUAUGCUUACAAGUAUCCUCAUGAUCAGGAAUGUGGCCUGAUCAGGAAUGUGGCCUUAUCUUCACAAGGAGGCUUAUAAACAUGUUCUGGCAAAUGCACUGACAAGGCUCCUUCAGACUUUUCUUUUGAUCACACAGAAGUGUGGCUAGUGAUAUUUGGGGGCGGGGAUAUUGCACAUGCCUAUCUGCAUAUAUGUUUUUGCAUUCAUGUAUCCCAGCUGAACACUGAAUGAUGGCUAUUUGAAUAUUAGUAUAUAAGGAGGGGCACAUGAUUCUCCAGAGAGAUAUAGUACAAAUUAUUUUUUAUUCUUCUUCAGGUUCACAUCCAGUCCCAAUAGAAGAAAACAAAAACAAUUUUGUAUGCUAUAUCAGCUUGGACCUAAUCUUUGUACAGUCUAUUUCUUACCAUCCUGGUCUGAAAUCUUCCCUUCUGGACAUGGAAUGCAAUCAUAGCAACAAAAUGGCUCCCCCUCCUUCACUUUCUUGCUGGAACCAGGAUGGCAACUCUCUGUACACACAGAAAGAGGUUGCGUCUAGUCAUGAAAAAGAAAGAAGACUUUUACUGGGGGUGCAGACAUCCAUGGGAUUCACUAUUCCAUGCUUUCAUCCUAUAAUACUGUGUUCUCUUGGGAUAAAACAGCAGAGGCCC
rnacentral:lncRNA from 1 species